ensembl:lncRNA
CGGAGCGGCUUCGCAGCCUGCAGUUGAACGUGAAUGUCUGUGUACUUAAUGUCACACACGCGCAAACCGAAGGCUUUGCCCGCGGUGACCUGCGCAGAGCCCUCACCUUCCUCCGGGGUGGUGCUGGAAGCGCUUCCCUCCCGCUGCGUCCGCCUUCUGCAGUCCUGUUCUGGCUCCAGGCCUCUCCACCCGGCAGCGCCCGGCUCUUGUGAGCUCACAGAGCUGCUCCGUGCGUCCUGCCUUCCCAGCAGCGUGUGACUGCUGGUAGGGUUGUUGCAGCCACCUGAAGUCUCUCGGCAAGGAGGAAAAUGUGUGCAGAGGAGCCUGGAGGAUGGAGACCACGGAAUUCUUCUCAGGAUGGCCUGGCUCAGGUCUUUGUUUUCUACUGUUUGACGAGAGUGAUAAAGGAGCUGUAGCACAGAAAUGGGGAGGAAGGAGGAACUUAUGAAGGGCAGCUCUUCGGGAAAAUAUACAAAAUACACUGCAAGAAAAUGCAAAGUCCAUG